rnacentral:tRNA from 1 species
GCCUGGAUGGCUCAGUUGGUUAAGUGUCUAACUUCAGCUCAGAUUAUGAUCUCAUGGUUCGUGGGUUCAAACCCUACAUCGGGCU